AGCCAGGGAAGCUGCAGAUUUUCUUUAGUGUGUAGUGGAGCCACGUAGAGGGACGAAGGACAGGUGGAGAGGGAGGCCACUGCCCACCGCAAGCAUGCACGCUUGUAUGCUAAGUCACUUCAGUCAUGUCCGACUCUUUGUGACUCUGUGGACCUUAGGCCUCCACGCUCUUCUGUCCAUGGAAUUCUCCAGGCAAGAAUACUGGAGUGGAUUACCGUGGCAUCUUCCAGGGGAUCUUCCUGACCCAGGGAUCGAACCUGAGUCUCUUGGACUUCUGUCACCAAAUCCACGGUGCCAUAGACCUGGGAGUCUGUCGCUUCACUACUGACCACCAGCCCCAGCAGCAGCCGGAGUAUCAGCAUCUUUGCACCAGUUUACCAAGCCCCAGCAACACAGCGUGAAAUAGACAGCGCCAGAUGAGACCUGCACACAUAGUGUUUUCCGUUUGAGGAGAGGAACUCACAACUUGGAAAGCUCAGAUCUUUGAUACAAAUCGCAAGCAAACCUACAAUUUACUCUGAAGGAAGACACUAUAUCUUCCAGGCUCUGCAGUGAAUAUCCUUAUACUUAUGCAACUCCUGGCAUGUCCAAGUGGGUGAGAGUACACAGUGGUUUUGCUGUUUUUCAGUUGUCCUUGGUAAAUUGUGAAGAAAGCUGAGUGCCGAAGAAUCGAUGCUUUUGAACUGUGGUGUUGGAGAAGAUUCUUGAGAGUCCCUUGGACUGCAAGAUCAAACCAGUCCAUUCUAAAGGAGAUCAGUCCUGGGUGUUCUUUGGAAGGAAUGAUGCUAAAGCUGAAACUCCAGUACUUUGGCCACCUCAUGUAAAGAGUUGACUCAUUGGAAAAGACUCUGAUGCUGGGAGGGAUUGGGGGCAGGAGGAGAAGGGGACGACAGAGGAUGAGAUGGCUGGAUGGCAUCACCGACUUGAUGGACAGUUAGAGAUCAUAGAUGCCACAAAAAUGACCGCCUUGAGACAUUCCUUGCAGUUCAACAGGUAAAGCCAAGAAAUCUCCAACAUCUGUCAGUCAUCCAAGAAUAAAACAGGCUGAAGUCCGUUUGGAUCCACAGUUCCAUUUCCUAGGGUUUUUAAUCCAAAUUCUCAAACUCAAAUUCCUCUCAUAAGUGAAG
ensembl:lncRNA